GCCGUUGUGGUGUAGUGGUUUGAGUGUUGGGCUAGGACUCCAAGAGACCAGGGUUCGAAUCUCCACUGUCGUG